rnacentral:rRNA from 1 species
UACGUAGGGUGCGAGCGUUGUCCGGAAUUACUGGGCGUAAAGGGCUCGUAGGCGGCCAACUAAGUCGGGCGUGAAAUCCCUCGGCUUAACCGGGGAACUGCGUCCGAUACUGGAUGGCUUGAGUUCGGGAGAGGGAUGCGGAAUUCCAGGUGUAGCGGUGAAAUGCGUAGAUAUCUGGAGGAACACCGGUGGCGAAGGCGGCAUCCUGGACCGACACUGACGCUGAGGAGCGAAAGCCAGGGGAGCAAACGGG